rnacentral:lncRNA from 1 species
UCGCAUUACUGGGGACUGGGGCAUCAUCCCUUCUAGCAGCCCACACAACAGUCUCUAGUGAAAUCCCGGAUAGAAAAACCCCUAUAGAAUAGCCGUCGCGUUGUCGGAAAAAUCCGAAAGCAUAAAGACCGGAAGGUGACAACCAUGAGGAGUUUGUGAUAGGUGUUAGAGAAGAUCCGAGGGUUAUAUUGGUCUGUCUUUGAGCUGAAGCUGUAAAAGAUAAGGCGAGAAGAAGAAAAAAGAUGAUAGAAGCCAUGGAUAGGGAUUUAGCUCUUGUGUGGUAUGUGAGUGUCAAAAUAAGGAUGUCUAUUGUUCCAGCACUCCAUUAUCUUUCUGUGGUUUCCAGCAGUCAAGCCAGGCACUCAAAACAUAAAAGUCUAGCCAUAGAAUCCACCGCGUUUCCCUACCAAUUGGUGGAAAUUGUUGCUCUUAGUUUUAUGCUUUCAAAGUCACCGAAAAAACUUGGCAGUUACUUGGUGCUGGUCCACUUUUUUCAUCUUGGUAUCCCCCAUUUGAAAAGUCAUUUGCUAAUUUCCCCGGGACUAUUCUUGGUUCUAAUUUUCUGCAGCAGAUUCUUUUUUAUUUGUCAAGUACCAUUCAAUACGCUUAGAAGACACAAUCUUUAGCUUCCUGCAGACAGCUUCAACUAGUUAAGAAAUAUCGAUUUGGUGCCAAUGCUAAUACCCUGGCAUUAUACUAGGGCAAGACAGAACAACUUGCUAGCUUAUAGUCAUGUCCCUCAAAAGCUAAAGCCUAGCUAGCAACCUCAGUUUCUAACGAGAGAGCAUCUCUACAUGUUGCGUAACUAACAAUCCCUUGAAUAUUAAAACUGAAAAGUGGAACUCAUUGGACCGUUGAUUUUAUGACCAGUUCCACCGUACGACUUAAUUCAGAGUACAAUUGAGGUGGUCACGGCAAGGACCGGGUCAAGGGACAACCUAGCAUUUGCUGACCUGCUCUUCUCAGCUAAAGCUUCUUUUUUUUUUUUUUGAAAGAUGCGCAUAUUAUUUAAACGUCAAAGUCUGACGGGAAUAGAACAGAAGCUAUACAAUAUCUUACUAUGACAAAAAGCCAUAUAUAGGAUAAAGCGCAGCAUAAGAUAAACAAAAGCAAAGAAAACCACAAAAAAUCCAUCCGAAUGAGCUGAAGCUAAACAUUCCUCUACAAAACAAAACAAAAAUUACUCAAAGACAUAAUGGGAGAAGAAACAAUAGCAAGGCCAUAGAAAAAUGGUGAAUUCAAAGCCAGGCAACAAAUUCACUUGAUCUUCGCACUCCUUGUUUAGCCAAGUCAUCUGCCAUGCAAUUGCUUUCACGAAAGAUAUGUGAGAAGGUGAUUGAACCAAAAUAUGCUUUUAAUCUAUUAAAAAAGGAGAACAAAUUAUGAUGCUUCCAGGGACGACUGAGAGGAUUAUUCAUCCACAGAAUAACAUUGACCGAGUCAGAUUCGAUGAUGAGGUGUUGAUGGUGUAAGAGGCAAUUAGAUGCUGAUAGUUCAAUGGCUUUGACAAUAGCCCUUAACUUAGCAAUAUUAGAGUCUAAAAUACCAACUGGAACAGAGAACAUACCGAGCAGAUGACCAUGAUGAUUUCGCAACACACCACCUAUUCUAGAGGGGCCUGGCUUACCAAGAGAAGAGCCGUCCACAUUCCAUUUGAGGCUAUUAAUCAUAGGAGGAGACCAUAUAUUAUUAAUCCUGAAAGAGUGAGCAUUGGACCACCGAAGCAAGCCAUCUGCCGAUCUGAUUAGAUCUGUAGGGGAGUAUGGAAAAUCUGAAUGGAUAGCUUUUAGCCAUAGACAUAAACGGGUGAUAAUAAGAAAGAAUAUUGAGUCAUAGUCUGGUGUCUUCUGUUGGAAAAUCAGAUCAUUUCGAAGGAGCCAAAGAGACCAUGCCAUUGAGAAGAACAACAUCAACCAUGCCUUCCUCUGAAAAUUACCAUGCACCAUGGAAGACCAUUGAGACCACAUAUCUGAGAAGCUCUUUGGGCAACACCAAACUAAACCCCACCAUUUAAUGAUUUUGGACCAAAUGAGCCAAUGUUUAUGGCAGUGCAACAGAAUAUGGUCCACCGAUUCUGCUUCAACAAGGCAGAUAGGGCAAAGGGCAAUUUGAUUCCGAGCUACCCAAGAUACCUCUUCGAACCAACAUACAUCGGGUGUUGAGUCUGUUAAUGAUAGUCAUCUAGCAAAAGAUCUCUACCUUAAGAGGGACAAUACCUUUCCAAAUUCCAGCAAAUGAGAAGGCAUUGUUUGUGGAAGGCUUUGGACUCAACAAUACGCAGAGAGAUUUCAUUGAAAAUCUUCCUGAAUUAUUGUCCUUCCAAAUUAGUCUAUCCUCUCCAUCUUUGUCCAUGAGUACUAACGAAAGGAUUGCAUAGAGUUGAUCAAGCAAACCGAUGUUGCGCCCCCGUAGUGGACGUAUCCAUGAAAAAAACCAAAUCCAUUCAUACCCUUCCCACAUUCCCAUCUUAGCAAUGGUGCAGCUUUGUCAUUGGAUAAUUGUAAAAGAGUAGGGAAGUGAUCUUCUAAACAAUGGUUAUUAAGCCAGCAAUCAAGCCGAAACAUAGUUUUCUUGCCAUUUCCAAUAAGAACCAAAGAUUGCUCAUUCACAAUAUCCUGCAACUUAUUAUUUCUCACAUAAUGAUUGACAAUCCAGGACCAUGUAGUUGCAGUUCCUGGAAUAGGAGCUUGCAGCAGGAGAUUAGAGCAAUUGGUGUUGUGGAUGGUUUUGAUCACAUCCUUCCACAUACUUGAUUCCUCCAACCCAAACCUCCAUAACCAUUUAAAGAGCAGAACUUUAUUUUUGUCCCUUAAAGAACCAAUCCCAAGACCACCCGCAUGUUUUGGAAGAGUAACAGUUGCCCAGCUAACAUUGCAUAUUUUGUGCCUAGCUUCUUCUCUCACCAUCUUCAUGCCAUGGUUGCUGAUUGGAGGGGCUUUAUAAUUUAUUUAUUACAAUUGUGCUAUGAAAAAGAAAAAAAAAUGCUAUGAUAUUAAAAAAAAAAAGAAUUUCCUCGUAGCUAUGAUAUUUGUGAUAUUAAUUAUGUUACACUUGUGAUCAUGUUGAUGAGAAUAAUAAUAAAUUCAUAUAGUUUUAGUAAUGUUUAUGUUAGCAAGCAAUGCUACUGAAGGUGAAGAAGCUGUGACGAAGAUGAUGGUGAUGUAAUGGUAAUGACGAUUAAAGUGAUUGAAAAAUAUUUUUCUUUUGAUAAUUUAUUAGUAUAUAUAUAUUUCAAAUGUUUAAGAUAUUUUUCAAAUAAAUGUACCUUAACUAUGAUAAAUGAUAUAUUCUCCGUUUGUUUGCAAUUUGAUUGUAAAGGCUUCCUUUUAACAUAAUUCUGCUUGAUAUGCUCCAUGUAAUUACAAACUAAUUAGCUCAUUCUGGUCUUCUCACUUCUGGCAAUUAGUCAGUUUGAUGGCGGCUUGCAACAAUGUACUGUCACCAACCGUUGUAUUGGACUUCGAUUCACCGAUAAUGCCCUGCAACUGAGCUUGAGCGAAGGAAUGGACAUUUGCAUUUAGGCAAGGAAUUGCCUUGUAGAAUAGAAGAAGAAGAAGAAGAAGGGGGAAAAACAAGCAGAGAUCAUAAUCUCAUUAAUUCUAUUCUUCGUAAAGAGCUCACUCUUGAGAUAACAUAAGACCACCAAACGUUGUUUAUACUAAGAACACGUGAAGCUUUCAUGCUAACGUUUUCUUUUCUCCUCUUUAUAUACCUUUUUUCUUUUUCUUUUUUUUAAUAUCUAAGAUACGGUGGGAAACAACUUUAUUAACAUUAGAAGAAAAAUCACCAGGAAGCUCCUAAAUGCUGCGUAAACAUAUAGCAAUUUUAUAAAGAAAAGGAAUACAUGACCUGAAAAAUAAAGUACAACACUCUGCACAUGAAUCUCUUAUUCCGAACCACAAAACGCAGCUCAUAUAGCGGUAAAAAAAAGUAGGACUUGGAGGGAUUGGGAUUUCGACUGUCCCCUCCAAAAUCAUCAGGAAGCUCCUAAAUGCUGCGUAAACAUAUAGCAAUUUUAUAAAGAAAAGGAAUACAUGACAUGAAAAUAAAAUACAAUACUUUGCAGGUGAAUCCCUUAUUAUGAACCACAAAACGCGGCUCAUACAGCGGUAAAAAAAGAAGUAGGACUUGGAGGGAUUGGGAUUUCGACGGUCCCAUCCAACAUGAGGAGGACCUUUUUCAUUGAAGGGCGGAGGGAUGGCUCAUCAAGAGUGCACCAAAGUCCCACUUUAACCAUCCUAUCUAACUGUUUCUUUCCAACGACUUCUUCACCCACAAGUUUGUCCAUAUCACCGUCCUGAAAACAUUGAUAAACCCACUGUUCGAGAACAGCUUCAUCCUCUGGAAGACUCCAAUCCACAUUCUUUCGACAACACGUGAUCUCCAACAACAUAACUCCAAAGCUAUAAACAUCUGCUUUAACUGUCACCGGCAUAUUCCGGUGCCAUUCUGGUGCUACAUAUCCCCUCGUCCCUCUCAUUCCGGUGAAGGUUUUUGUUUGGUCUGACUUCAGAAUUUUUGCCAAUCCAAAGUCAGAAACUUUGGGGCACCUGCUUUCAUCUAUUAGUAUAUUCUGAGGUUUUAUAUCACAGUGGAUGAUCUGAGUGUCGCACUCCUCAUGUAGAUAAACAAUACCCCUUGCAAUGUUGCGAGCAAUUUCCAACCUUUCAGGGAAGCAAGGUCGUUUUUCAAGUGAGAAGAGUAUGUCAGCAAGGGAGCCAUUGCUCAUGUACUCGUAUACCAGGAGCCUGUGAUGUUCAUCAUGGCAAUAGCCGAGCAGACGGGCUAGGUUUCUUUGAUUUUUUUUGGAGAGAUAAAGGAGGACAAGAGAAAGUAUUGAAUGUGAGUGUUAUCAGUCAUUUCUUAUAUAUUAUAUAUAUGAGGGUGUAUAAAGGAAAUCCCCUCAGAUUCAGCCAAUAUUCAAAUUUCCCAGAUUCAGCCAAUAUUCACUUGCCUCUUGCCCAUGAUCCUGCAACCAUCAUUCAAGCAUAAUAUCAAGCUUGUAACGGCAGACAAAUCUUCAACGUAAAUGCAGUAUAAAUGUCAAGACGUAAUCUUAGCUUACUUUCUAAAUUCAAACCUGCAAAGCUGUGUAUAUAUAUGUUAACAAUUGUAUUACUCAAGGUGUGGCGAAAUAUACAAUUCUGAAGUUUAUCAAAUAGCUCAACUCUCUGAAAUUUCUUAUCUUCAUCAUGGUAUCAGAGCAACAAAUCUCCAACGAGAAUUUGAUCCCUCACAAUCCUAUCUCAACCCCAUCCUCUCCAACUGAAACACCUCUGAUUGCCCUCAACAUCACAUCCCAGAUAAAUGAUAAACUUACCCCCUCUACAUUCCUUCAAUGGCGCGCUCAGUUUGAAGCCUUACUCAUCGGGUAUGAUCUCCUUGAUUAUGUCACUGGAGAAAAAAUCUGCCCUGUAUCCACCAGCACAGCAGUCUGCGCCAUCCAACGAACACACUGGAUAAGGCAAGAUAAGCUUAUCCUCAGUGCCAUUUUGGCAUCCACAUCCACUGUUAUUACUCCUCUCAUCUCCAUGGCCAAGACAUCAAAGGAUGCAUGGCAUAAAUUGCAUACUCUGUAUGCAAGCAAGUCCAGAACCAGAGCAAUGCAACUUAAGGAAGAACUCACAAUGAUAAAGAAGGGCAACCAGUCAAUUCAAACUUAUCUUCAUUCUGUAAAAUCGUUGGCAGACGAAAUCUCCCUCAUAGAUCACCCAAUCUCUGAAGAUGAUCUAACACUCUAUAUUCUAAAUGGCCUGGGAACUGACUUUCGUGAAAUUGCAGGCCCUAUUCGCGCCCGAGAACGACCACUCACUUUUGAGGAACUUCAUGAUCUCCUUGUAAGUCAUGAUGCAUAUCUUCGCCGUCUUGAUGCCUCCUCCCAUCUGAUUGCUUCUGCAAACUACACGCACCGACGGGCUUCGUAUAAUCAAGAAAAUCAGUCUUUUAAAUCUGCCCCAAACCCCACUUUUUUGACAGAUCAUAUGGGCUUCACUAUCGCCAGCCUGGCAAUCCGAGAGACACAACAAAAAUCAUGGACCACGUCGUUUUCCUCCAGCUCCAAAGUGCCAACUAUGUGACCGCAUGGGUCAUACUGCCAAACACUGCAGUCGGUUUCAGUAUACCACCCCAACAGCGAAUUGCACUUCCACCUCACCCGCACAGGAUACAAAAUGGCUUAUAGACUCAGCCGCGUCUCAUAAUAUUACUGGUGAUCUUGCUAAUCUAUCUAUUCAUUCCGAAUACGAUGGCACAGACGAAGUUAUCAUUGGUGAUGGUUCAGGUUUGCCUGUUUCUCACAUUGGCUCCUUACAUCUUCAUUCCCCCACACGUACCUUCCAUUUAAAUGACACCCUUUGUGUUCCUAAUCUACAAAAAAAAUCUCAUAUCUGCUCAUCAAUUUACUCGUCAAAAUCAUGUCUUUAUUGAGCUUCACCCCUCUUUCUUUUUUGUUAAGGACAAGAUCACGGGAGCGGCUCUAUUCCGAGGAGCGUGUGAGAAUGGUGUUUACAUCCUUCCGAAGUCAAUGGUGCAGCCUUCUCAUCCUAUUGUUGCUAAUGUGCAUGAAAGGGUCUCCAUGGACGGAUGGCACAAACGCCUUGGGCAUCCCUCUCCUAAAUUGGUCACUCACCUUAUCAAAUCAUUUUCCCUUCCAACAAUAAAUAAAAAAAAUAUUUCUCUUUGUUCCUCAUGUUCUAUUAAUAAAGCUCAUCGUCAACCAUUUCGUCAAAACAGUCUCUUGAGUCAUGCCCCUCUUGACUUACUUUAUACUGAUGUGUGGGGUCCCUCAAGUACAAUUGGCAUUACUGGGGCUCGUUACUAUCUCAUUUUUGUUGAUCAUUUCACAAAAUACAUUUGGUUUUAUCCUAUGGAGACUAAAUCCAGUGUCCGCAUCAUAUUUCCUCAAUUCAAAAAUCUUGUUGAAAAUCGGUUUCAGUUAAAAAUUAAAUCUGUCUAUUCUGAUAAUGGUGGUGAAUUUGUUGCCUUAAAACAAUAUUUUACAACAAAUGGAAUCAGUCAUUACACCACAGCUCCUCAUACACCGCAACAAAAUGGUGUUUCUGAGCGUCGUCAUCGUCACUUGGUUGAAACCGGUCUCACAUUACUACAUGAUGCAUCCCUUCCCCUUCAGUAUUGGCCCUAUGCUUUUUCCACUGCUGCAUAUCUUAUUAACCGUCAACCCACACCUCUCCUCCACCAUAAAUCUCCGUUUGAAACUUUGUUUACACAGCCUCCAAAUUAUAAAAAGCUAAAAAAAUUCGGUUGUCUUUGUUUUCCUCUUGUUCGGCCAUAUAACACAAACAAGUUACAACCAAAAUCAAUUCCAUGUAUUUUCGUAGGCUACUCCUUAACCCAAAAUGCAUACAGCUGCCUUGAUCCCAUAACCAACCGUCUCUACCAAUCACGCCAUGUCAUCUUUCAUGAAAAUGAAAAUGGUUUCUCCUCCAACCAUCCUUCCACACCCAGCCCGACAAGCGACUCCUCUGUUCAUGGUCCUCUUUCAUCUCCUCCUGCACCUCCACCAGUGACUUCGGCAAGGAUACCCACUCUCACUGCUUCCUCAGGUAAUGACUCCCCCACUGUAUCUUUUAAUUCACGUGCACUCAUACCUUUAUCUUCUUCUGCUUCUCCUAGUUUUCAGCUUGCCUCAUCUCCACUGCCAAAUCCCAGUCAUCCACCCUCAUCAGUUAUUUGUGCACCUUCUCCAAGCUCACCUCCCUCAUCACCCAAUCCUGCACCCACCCGGCCUCACUCCAUGGUCACCCGUUCCAUGAAUAACAUUUAUAAACCCAAACAACUUAACAUCACCACAAAACACCCCAUCCCAAAAACUGUAGAACCAACCUGUGUGGGACAGGCUCUUCGUGAGCCACACUGGAGAUCAGCAAUGUCUGAGGAACUCACAGCCCUCAUGAGGCAUGGCACAUGGGAGUUGGUACCGCCUCCUCCGGACUGCCAACCAGUUGGGUGCAAAUGGGUUUUUCGGAUCAAACGACAUCCUAAUGGCUCCAUUGCUCGGUUCAAAGCCCGUUUGGUUGCAAAGGGAUAUCAUCAGCGGCCUGGUCUAGACUACAAUGAAACGUUCAGUCCAGUUGUGAAACCUGCCACCAUCAGAACAGUUCUCACCGUGGCUGUCACACAGGGGUGGCCAUUACGGCAGCUAGAUGUAAACAAUGCCUUUUUGCAUGGGAACCUGCAGGAAACAGUCUACAUGUUACAGCCACCGGGGUUCCAUGAUACCUCCACUCCCCAUCAUGUCUGUCGGUUAAACAAGGCUAUUUAUGGCCUCAAACAGGCCCCUCGUGCCUGGUAUUCUGCUCUGCAACAAGCCAUUCUGAAACUGGGAUUCACCAGCUCCAAAGCCGAUCCUUCUCUAUUUAUCUUUCACAGUGCAGAUGUUUUGUGUUACUUGCUGGUCUACGUGGAUGAUCUCGUUCUCACUGGAAACACUCCAUCCUUCCUGACUCAUGUGAUUGAUCAACUUAGCAUCCAAUUCUCAUUGAAAGAUAUGGGUGCACUUCAUCAUUUUCUGGGGCUAGAUGUUAUACCCACCAAAAACGGGUUGUUCUUAUCUCAACAUCAAUACAUACGGAUCUUCUCUUCAAAACUAAUAUGCAGGGUGCUAAGGAUGUCUCUUCUCCUAUGUCCACUUCGGUCCAGCUCAAGCUUAUUGAUGGCACAGCUCCCUGUGACAGCACUGCAUUUCGAAGCAUCAUCGGUGGAUUACAAUAUUUGUCUCUUACUCGUCCUGAUGUUUCCUUCACUGUUAAUAAGCUGUCACAAUUCAUGCAUCAACCUACGGUCACUCACUGGUCAGCUGCCAAACGCCUGCUCCGCUAUUUGAAGAAAACCAUCUUCCUUGGCAUUCACAUAAAUCGUCAGUCUUCAUUUGAUAUCACCACUUUUGCUGAUGCUGAUUGGGCUGGGAAUUAUGAUGAUCGCACCUCCACCUCAGCUUACAUUACAUUCCUUGGGCUCAAUCCCAUCUCGUGGAGCUCAAAGAAACAACGUGCAGUCGCCAGGUCCUCCACAGAAGCUGAGUAUCGUUCCCUUGCCACUGCUACGUCUGAAACAGUUUGGCUGUUGUCCCUGUUCAAAGAACUGUGUCUCCCAAUUUCAUCUCCGCCAAGGCUGUUGUGUGACAACCUGGGAGCUACACACCUUAGCUUCAAUCCAGUUCAGCAUUCCCGGAUGAAACACAUUCAGAUAGACCUCCACUUUGUCCGUGAUAUGGUUCACAAGAAGAUCCUCAAUGUUCAGCAUGUCAAUACUCAUGACCAAUUGGCAGACUUUCUAACGAAGCCUCUGUCUUCCCAGCGUCUGCAUUCCUUACUGCUCAAGAUUGGCUUAGCUGAUGGCUCAUCCAUCUUGCGGGAGCGUAUAAAGGAAAUCCCCUCAGAUUCAGCCAAUAUUCAAAUUUCCCAGAUUCAGCCAAUAUUCACUUGCCUCUUGCCCAUGAUCCUGCAACCAUCAUUCAAGCAUAAUAUCAAGCUUGUAACGGCAGACAAAUCUUCAACGUAAAUGCAGUAUAAAUGUCAAGACGUAAUCUUAGCUUACUUUCUAAAUUCAAACCUGCAAAGCUGUGUAUAUAUAUGUUAACAAUUGUAUUACUCAAGGUGUGGCGAAAUAUACAAUUCUGAAGUUUAUCAAAUAGCUCAACUCUCUGAAAUUUCUUAUCUUCAUCAGGGUGAUCAUUUUAAAGAUUUUUUAGUAUAAUUUCUCAAAGUAUAAUGGGGAAAUGAAAACACGAUCAAAGCACAAGAAUAUUUUUUUUUUUUGUAAUUAUCCAUGAACUCAUGAAUAGUUGUAAAGUUUUUGAAGUGAGAUAAUGUUUGGUGAUUUAACUAGUUAGUUGGCCUGCAUUUUAUCGCGUGAUGAAGAAAUUUCUUGCUUUGCAAUGAAAAAUAAAAAGAAUUAUCUUGCAAUAUCGAUAAUAAACACAACAAAUUAAAACAAAAUAAAACUAAGUUUGUUUACAUGUUGGUCGUUAAUUUAAGAUUAAAAUUUAUGGUUAAUUAAAAUUUUUUUUUACUAUAUUUCAUAUGUCACAAAUAUUUGUGUUAUAAAUAUUGUUAUUUUUAUUAUAAUUAAAAAUACUAAUAUAAAAAUAUUGUUGUUUGUGCUAUAAAUAUGAUUAUUUUUAUUAUAAUUAAUUUGAUUAAUAAAAUAAUUAAUAAAUUUGAAAAACAAAUUAUUAUCAAUAUUGAAAAACAACCAUAGAUUUGAUUUGAAAUGUAAAAUUGAAAAUUGUUAUUGUUAUCAUUAAUAAAUUUGAAAAAAAAAUACUAUUAUUACUAUUGAAGAAAAUCCAUAAUUUUUCAAAAAAAUUAAAAAAUAUAAGAAUUUAGACGGACAAGUUAAAUAUUAUUAUUUAUAUUAUAAAUAUUAUCGUUGGGUUUGACAUUACAGUUAGACUCGACUCCUUCAAUUCUUGUGUUGCAACCAGACCAAAGCUUUUGAGUCAUAUAUUUUUUUUAUAUUUUUUAUGAAAAUAAAACGUUGGCCGCAACCUAACUAAUAAUUACUAAAUGAGGACUCCAAAUAAAUUAAUUCAUUUGAUUGCUAUGUGAGAUUUUUUAUAAAAUACUUCAAGGAAAACAAACAUAUUAAAAUCAUAAAAACAUUUUACUAUAAAAUAUUAUACAGAAUAAACGUAACUUACUCUAAAUUUCCUCAAACAAUCUUGCAUUGCAAGAUUAAAUGGGCAGUAACAACGCCAGGAAUGCUUUCUUGUGGAUUUAAACACAUUUUUCUAUUCCUCUUAAUUAUGGGAGGGGGGAGCUAUCUUCUGCUGUGUAGGAAGAUCUGAUGAAACAAAGGAACAAUUGUUUUCAUUUUACCAAAAACAUAUUUAGUGGAGUCGUACUAUUGAUUAAAAAUCAUCUACCAGAAGUGGAGUAUCCUCAAUACAAGUUGUUGCAACUCUGAAGAACAUAUUGCUAGUAUUUGUUGAGACUUGAGAAUAGCAUUACCCAUCUAGAAACCUGGCCAAAAUAUAGGUUUCAGUUUUCCAGCCAUAAUCCCGACAAAUGAGAUAAGGUGGGAAACAACUUUACAGGCAUUAACAUUAGAAUAAAAAUCAUCAGGAAGCUCCUAAAUGCUGCGUAAACAUAUAGCAAUUUUAUAAAGAAAAGGAAUACAUGACAUGAAAAUAAAAUACAAAUACUUUGCAGGUGAAUUCCUUAUUAUGAACCACAAAACGCAGCUCAUACAGCGGUAAAAAAAGAAGUAGGACUUGGAGGGAUUGGGAUUUCGACGGUCCCAUCCAACAUGAGGAGGACCAUUUUCAUUGAAGGGCGGAGGGAUGGCUCAUCAAGAGUGCACCAAAGUCCCACUUUAACCAUCCUAUCUAACUGUUUCUUUUCGACGACUUCUUCACCCACAAGUUUGUCCAUAUCACCGUCCUGAAAACAUUGAUAAACCCACUGUUCGAGAACAGCUUCAUCCUCUGGAAGACUCCAAUCCACAUUCUUUCGACAACACGUGAUCUCCAACAACAUAACUCCAAAGCUAUAAACAUCUGCUUUAACUGUCACCGGCAUAUUCCGGUGCCAUUCUGGUGCUACAUAUCCCCUUGUCCCUCUGAUUCCCGUGAAGGUUUUAGUUUGGUCUGACUUCAGAAACUUUGCCAAUCCAAAGUCAGAAACUUUGGGGCACCUGCUUUCAUCUAUUAGUAUAUUCUGAGGUUUUAUAUCACAGUGGAUGAUCUGAGUGUCGCACUCUUCAUGUAGAUAAACAAUACCCCUUGCAAUGUUGCGAGCAAUUUCCAACCUUUCAGGGAAGCAAGGUCGUUUUUCAAGUGAGAAGAGUAUGUCAGCAAGGGAGCCAUUGCUCAUGUACUCGUAUACCAGGAGCCUGUGAUGUUCAUCAUGGCAAUAGCCGAGCAGACGGACUAGGUUUCUGUGAUGUGUUUUCCCAAUGACUUUCAUCUCAUUCUGAAAUUCUCUUUCCCCUUCAGCUAGAGCUUUCUCCAGUCUCUUGACAGCAACAACCUUCCGAGUACUUGAUAUUAUCCCUUUAUAAACUGUCCCAAAUGAUCCCCUGCCAAUUUCUUCCUUGAAACCACCAGUAACAUCUUCUAGCUCUGCAUAAGUGAAAGCUCGAGGAGCAAAUUCCUCAUUCAAUGCACUACCAUCAUUUUUGGGAACCUUUUUAUAUGCCAAUACAUGAUAUCUGUAAAUGAUGAUUCCGAAAAUCGCCACCAUAGCAAGCCCAAAAGCAACAACUGAACAACUUAUUAUUACGAUUCUCCUGCCAGUGCCAAGGUUCUUCUUCUCUUUUCUGUCCAUGGAGGAUAUGGGUCUACCCACCUUGACGACAGCCAAGUUGGAACUUUCUAAGUUUCUCCUCCCAAAUCUCAAAGGAAGCCUUUGCUUUCUGCAGUACUGCCCAUCAGUGAAUAAUGCUGCUUCACAGUUACAGUCUUCCAAACAGGCUUGCUUACAAUUGUCUUUCAUUGUUAAAGACAAAACGGAGUAUGAAACAUCUUCCCAGAAUAUUAGACAGCUCUUCCAUGGUGUAUGUGCUACUUCCAUUCUUGUUUGCAACUUUCAGCAUGAAAUCCCUCUCACAGCCAGAAGUCCAAUUUCCCUGGGUAACAAACUUAAAUCCAGGAAGACAAAUACAUUCAGCUUCCUGAUCCUUCAACACAAUAUCCAUUAAGACCGCAUGAUCCUUUCGGGUGGCACUUUGCUUGUGGAUGACCACACAGCUGACCAGUUUCCAUUCCGUGUCAGAUUUUGUGAAUAUAAUCUGAAAAUCCCAUCAGCAUCAAGUUUCAUAUUAAUUGUUUCUUUCGUGGGAUAUCCUCCAGCUGUAAUGUUUUUAUGUUGAAACCUGUGGAAUUGAGCAGGUAGAGACGGCCAUCCGGAUCAAGAUUUAGGGUCACAUUAUCUCCCGCCCCAUUAGUAUCAGAUGCAAAAUAAGCAUAUGGAGCUGUAUCUGGAGUACUAACAGGAUACUGCACAAGGUGUCCAUCAUGUUGCAUCUUGAGUCGGUAAAUACCAGUUGAGAGGUCAGUUUCUGAAACAGGAGAAACCAGCUCUGCCCCUGCUCUGAGCUGUUGAGUUGGCAAAAGGGUAUCUGUUGGGUGGUCAAAACUCUGCCAUAUAAUCUCGUGAUCAGAAUUAUAUAGCACAAAGUUGCCUGAAUCAGACAUAGAAGCUAAAGAAGCUGGCUGGGAAGCAGAAACUAUCGGAGUCUCAUCCCCUUGUGCUGAUCUCAAGACAACCCUGCCAUCACUGGUGAAGAGCAAGGUCGCAUUACUGGGGACUGGGGCGUCAUCCCUUCUAGCAAAGAAAGAGAAGAUGCUUUACAAGAGGCACAGAAGCAAGUCCUUAAAGUCAACAGAAAGAAGGACAACAAAGCAAAGACCAUCAUCUAUCAAGGUCUUGAUGAAGAUACAUUCGAGAUAAUAGCUUCCGCUGAAACGUCACAUGAUAUAUGGGAGGCUCUCCAACAAAAAUACAAAGGUGCUGACAGAAUCAAGAAGAUUCGUCUUCAAUCUUUGAAAGGAGAAUUUGAAUUAUUACGAAUGAAGUCCUCAGAAUCUAUUUCUGAUUAUCAUACAAGGAUUAUGGUGAUAGUCAAUCAGAUGAGGAGAAAUGGAGAAGCCAUCAUAGAUACUCGAAUUAUUGAGAAAAUUUUGAGAUCCAUAGAUCCAAAAUUUGAUCAUGUUGUUGUCGCAAUUGAAGAGUCCAAGGAAGUGGACAAGUUGACAGUGGAUGAGCUUAUGAGUUCUUUGCAAGCUCAUGAGCAGAAGAUUGUAAUGCGAAAUGAAGAUAAGGCCAUUGAGCAUGCCUUACAAGCAAAGCUGUCUUUCAAGGACAGAUAUGAGCAAGGGGAGACUUCAACAAGUGGCUACACCACUCAAGGAGGAAGUCAACAAUCCAGAGGAGGAUUCCAGAGAUUCCAAGGAAGAGGUUCUUGGAAUACAAGCUUCAGAGGAAGAGGUGGUAGAAACACCACCAGAGGAGGCCAAGGCCAACAAGCAUUCACUCCCAGAGGAAGAGGAGGCGGUUACAAUAACCGUGACAAGAGGAAUAUCCAAUGUUAUAGUUGCAAUCAAUUUGGGCACUAUAGCACUGAAUGCCGAUGGAAAGCUCCGUUGGAGAUACGUGAGCAAGCCAACUAUGUAGAGAAGCAUGAUGGAGAAGCAUCUGCAUUUCUUGUCCAACAAGGACAUGGCGAGAAAAAGAGGAGAUAUGGUAUCUAGAUACUGGAGCCAGCAAUCACAUGUGCGGCUACCGAGAGUUAUUUGGUGAUCUAGAUGAGACCAAGCAAGGUCUAGUUACUUUUGGAGAUACCACAAAGGUUCCAUUCAAAGGUAAAGGCAACAUCCCAGUCAAGUUGAAGAAUGGCGAUUCCAGCUACAUCGCCGAUGUGUAUUAUGUCCCAGCCAUAAAGCAGAACCUGAUCAGCUUAGGUCAACUUUUGGAGAGAGGAUAUAUUUUUACUCGAAGAAUUGUCAUCUGCAAUUAGAGACAACAAUGGGAGAUUAAUGGCCUACGUGAAAAUGUCCAAGAAUAGGAUGUUUCCUUUGAACAUCCAGUAUGAUGCAACAAGGUGUUUGAGUGCCAUCACCAACAGUGAAGAAUGGCUUUGGCACCUGAGGCUUGGACAUCUGAAUUUCACAAGUUGAAGAUGCUAGCAAGCAAGAAGAUGGUCAAAGGUUUGCCUCACAUUGAUCAUCCAGAUGAAGUCUGUGAGAGUUGUGUCCUCAGCAAACAUCACAGAUCCAGUUUUGCCAAAGAAGUCAACUGGAGAGCAAAGAGGCCACUGGAGUUAGUACACACAGAUGUGUGUGGCCCAAUUACGCCUAUGUCGACUGGACAAAAUAGGUACUUCCUCACUUUUACUGAUGAUUUUAGUAGAAAGACGUGGAUAUACUUUCUGAAGAGGAAGUCAGAAGUAUUCAAUUGUUUUAAAGAUUUUAAAGCAAUUGUGGAGAAGCAAACUGGUUACACGAUCAGAACCGUAAGAUCUGAUCAAGGUGGAGAAUAUACAGCAAAUGACUUUGAAGCCUAUUGUACACAACAAGGCAUCAGACAUCAGACGACGCCAGCUUAUACACCACAGCUGAACGGUGUAGCAGAAAGGAAGAAUCGCACGAUUCUUGACAUGGCAGAAGUUGCUCAAAGCAAAGAAGCUGCCCAAGCAAUACUGGGCUGAAGCUGUAUCAUGUGCAGUGUAUCUGUUGAAUCGCUGCCCAACCAGAAGUUUGCAAGGAGUCACUCCAGAAGAAGCAUGGAGUGGUCACAAACCAAGUGUUACUCAUCUACGAGUCUUUGGUUGUGUGGCAUAUGCAAAGAUCCCAGAUGCAAGAAGGAGAAAGCUCGAUGAUAAGAGCGAGAAAUGCAUCUUUGUCGGAUAUGGUGAAAGAAGGAUGGGAUACAGACUGUAUAAUCCCAUCACGAAGAAGGUGAUUACGAGUAGAGAUGUUAUCUUUGAAGAAGAUAAAUCUUGGGCAUGGAAUGUGAUCAAGAAGCAGUCAAAUGGAUCAAUCUUGAUUUGAUCCUUGAAGGUGAAGAAGUACCAACAGUACUUGUAGAAGAACCGAUUGUGCCAGCAGCUGAACCACAAAGUCCAGUGUUUAUACCAGUAGCUGAACCACAAAGUCCGGUACACAGAUUCCCUGUAUUCAACAGGAGGAACACACCAGGAGCAUCAUCAUCAACACCACCAUCAGCAUCCUCGUCAGAAGGACCAAGAAAGAUGCGGAAUCUUGAAGAGUUGUACGAUACCACUCAGGUCAUGGAAGAUACAACUUUGUUUUGUUUCCAUGCAGAUAAGGACCCACCAGAAAAGAAGAAAGCAAAAGGUGUCAAAAGGGUCUACAAGACGAAAGCCAAAUUAGUGGAUAAAGGCUACAAGAGAGAAGGCAUUGAAAGAAGAAGUGUCCAUGCUUGGCAUGACAUCCCUCGAUUGAGUUUAAAGGGGAGAUUUGUUGAAUUAAACUCAACAUCUAGAUGGUCAAGGAAGGAAACCACCAGCUGCCACCGACCAGCCGUCAGCCACCAGCCGCCUUCACACCGCCGGUCAACAGCCGCCUUCACACCUGGAACAGUAGAUUUUUGUAUUCUGAAUUUAUGUAUAAAUAGGGUGCUCAGUUAUGUUAAAUUGUGUGGAGAGAAUUGAGAGAAACACUUGAAAGAGAAAGAGAGAGAGAGAGGGCGUGUAUUAAGCUUUUGUUUUGUGUUAAUUGUAAGCUUCGGUUUUGUGUAAUAAAACAGUGUGUUUUAUCCCCUCUGAGUGUCUCAAAGCCACCACCAGUGGUUUCUCCCACCAACAGCCCACACAACAGUCUUUAGUGAAAUCCCGGAUAGAAAAACCCCUAUAGAAUAGCCGUCGCGUUGUCGGAAAAAUCCGAAAGCAUAAAGACCAGAAGGUGACAACCAUAAGGAGUUUGUGAAAGGUGUUAGAGAAGAUCCGAGGGUUAUAUUGGUCUGUCUUUGAGCUGAAGCUGUAAAAGAUAAGGCGAGAAGAAGAAAAAAGAUGAUAGAAGCCAUGGAUAGGGAUUUAGCUCUUGUCUGGUAUGGGAGUGUCAAUAUAAGGAUGUCUAAUGUUCCAGCACUCCAGUCUCUUUCUUUGGGUUCCAGCAGUCAAGCCAGGCACUCAGAACAUGAAAGUCUAGCCAUAAAAUCCACGCUUGCUUGUAUGCUUUCAAAGUCAAUGCAGUUGCGACGCCCCAUUUGAACAGCCAUUUGCUAAUUUCCCCUGGACUGUUCUUGGUUCUAAUUUUCUGCAGCAGAUUCUUUUUUAUUUGUCAAGUACCAUCAAUAUGCUUUUGAUAACAUAUUGAUGGUAUGGUUUUUUCUAUGGUUUUUUCAAUGGACCGUUGAUUCUAUGGUUUUUUUCCACACGUAUUUUGCAGGAACAGAAAUUGGACGUAUGAGUAAAGUAAUGUAUCUCUUGUCCUUGGCUGUAGCCAGUCUUUCUUUGAGCGUGUUUGGAAUUAAGAUAGUAAUAAUGGUUUAAAAUGUUUUUUAUUUAAAAAUAUAUUAAAAUAAAAAUUUGUUAUUUUAAAAAAAAUUAUUUUUAAUUUUAAUAUAUUAAAAUAAUUUAAAAAUAUAAACAAAAUUUAAAAUUUAAAAUAACAGAAAUGUGUUCGAUUGACGGAUUGAGGGUGCCCCUGUAUGACUUUAUUCAGAGUAUAAUUAAGGUGGUCACAACAGGGACUGUUCUCAGCAAAAAUGUCUUCUCUGACUAGCUUCAAAGCCAUGGGUGCGCUUUGAGGGGCUUUAUAAUUUAUUUAUUAAAAAUGUAUUAUGAAAAAGUAAAUAUGUAAAUCUUCAUGGGAGAUCUCUAAUAGAUGAAUUCUACAUUUUUUUUUGCCCGUAAGUUUUUUCUAACUUUAAAAAAUAUAAAGUCCAUGCAGUUAUAACUUAAAUCAACCUGGAUUAAUUUAACUAAUAUACAAAGCUCAAGGUGCAAUUAUUUAAUAUUAAAAAUUAAAAUUAUAUAAAUAAAAAAUAUUAAAUAAAAAAAUUUAAGUCAACUCAUCACCCGCAAUACAAGACUAGAACUAAAAAAUAAUUAAAAAAAAACUUAAAAAAACUCAUGAGCACUGUAUAUUGAAAUUGAAAAUGCUGUUGAAAGUUAUAUUUAUUGAAAUUAAAGGUUUUUUCAUAUUUUCAUAAAGGUUUACAUCAUUGUUUUACUUUUUUUAAAAAAAUUAUUAUUUGACAUUGUUUUUUUUUUAAAAAGGCUUUGUAGUUUUUAAUUUUUAUUUCAAUUGUAGUGUCUCGAUCUUAUAAUUUAAAUUAUAAAUUUACUGGGUUAAUUCAAGUUGACUCGAUCCUUUUUCUAGAUUCACUUUUCUAUGAAAGGAAUUUUACUCUCUUUUUUAACAUUAUUUUUUUAAAAAAAUAAAAUUAGUUCAUCCCUGUGGCGCAGAGCAGGUGCACAUCUAGUCUCUCUGCUAAAUGUUUUGCAAUCUGAUUUGCUUCUCUAAAUACAUGACUGAAACUGACUAAUAUAUAAUUAAACAAACUCUAGAGAAUCCCAUACAUACCUAAUCGUUUGAACGCGAAAUUGAUGCAUUUGGAUGUAAAGUGAAAACCGUAAAUUAGGACUCCUAAAUUUCUAGUUUUUAGGGUUCAGAUUUCUAUCAGUCAUGAAGAGAGAGAUUUUGAUUUUUUUUUGAGAGAUAAAGGAGGACAAGAGAAAGUAUUGAAUGUGAGUGUUACCAGUCAUUUCUUAUAUAUUAUAUAUAUGAGGGUAAUUUUUUUUUUUGAUUAUUUUAAAGAUUUUUUAUUAUAAUUUCUCAAAGUAUUUUUUAUAAUGGGGAAAUGAAAACACGAUCAAAGCACAAGAAUGAUAAAUAUCCGUUCUCAUCUUGCGGGGGGAUAUUGGAACCUAGCGCAUACUCACACAAAACAUAAAGAAGCUAAGGAUGCAGACAAUUCUUCAUUGCUUGCGGAGCAAGUAACCCCUGCAGCCGACUCCCCUACACCAAAAGACUAACGAAGACUAGCCAAGUUAUCAUAACACAUUGUAAAUUGUGGAUAUAAUAAAGUUAGUUAUAUACUGUUAAAGUUAGUUAGAAUAUGUGUAUAUAUAUGUAUUCAUGUAUACUGCAAAAGAGACAAAUAAUAAGAGAAGAAAUACUGCAUAUUGAUUGCAGACUUUCCAAACGUAUCUUCCUUCUUCUUCUCUCAUAAGAAAUUUUAUUCUCUUCUUCUUUCUCUACUUCUACAGGAAAGAAUAAAUUCUGCUAUAACAAAAUUAUUAUGGUAUCAGAGCAAGAUUUCUUCUAAAUCUCUGAAAAUAUAUACUCUUCUUUAUUUUUUUUCAGAAAGAUUCAAGAUCUUUGUAGUUGGAUAUUUUUCUGUCAUCAACUUCUUGAUUCCUUCAAAACUUCAAAAUGUCUGAUCAUCUUGAAGAAAGUGCUUCUACAGCACAUAAAGAUUCAUCCAAUAUCACUACUCUGAAUCUUUCUGAUGAUUCUUCCAGCUGCUACUACCUCCAUCCUUCUGAUAAUCCUGGCGCACUUCUAGUUUCUGAAAUCUUCACUGGCGAAAAUUAUAUUGCAUGGAGCAGAUCCAUGACAAUUGCCUUAACAGUGAAAAACAAGAUUGCCUUCAUUGAUGGAUCUUUAGUUCAACCAAACACCACCAAUCAAUCACUUUGUGUGGCAUGGCUGAGAUCAAACAAUCUGGUUCUAUAAUGGCCGAUGAAUUCAAUUGCCAAAGAAAUUAGCAACAACCUUCUUUACUUCACAACAACAUUCGAUAUCUGGGAAGAAUUACGAAUGAGAUAUCUUAGAAGUGAUGGACCAAGGGUUUUUAGUUUAGAAAAAUCUUUGAGUUCUAUUUCCUAGAAUUCAAAAUCUAUCACUGAAUAUUUCAGUGAAUUCAAGGCACUAUGGGAUGAAUACAUCAGUUAUCGCCCAAUCCCAAGCUGCAAAUGUGGAAAUCUUGAUUCCUGCUCAUGCAACAUUUUUAAACAUCUAACAGAUCGACAACAAUCCGACUUUGUUAUGAAAUUUUUGGUUGGCCUUCAUGAUUCUUACUUAGCAGUUAGAAGCCAACUAUUGCUCCAAACUCCUUUGCUAUCUAUGGGCAGAGUCUUUUCCCUACUUCUUCAAAAAUAGAGUCAGAGAUCCCUAACAAAUGCAGCAGGCAUUCCAAUUGAUUGCCAAGCAAUGAUUGCUGAACACUACCACAAUCAAAAUUCCAAAUCAGGUUCAACAUAUACUACACGCUUUGCUAAACAAAAAGGAAAAACUGAGGCAACCUGCUCCCACUGUGGAUAUCCUGGACAUACUAUUGAUAAAUGUUUCUAACUUAUUGGAUACCCUCUUGGGUGGAAAGGAUCAAGAGGAAAAAGAUUUGCUACUAUGCCACAGACCAGCAAAAACUUUCAACGAUUACCCACUGCACAUCAUACUACUAUCUUGCAACCACAUCUUGACACCCCUAACAUUGUUUUCUCUCAAGAACAGAUGCAAAAUCUACUCACUCUAGCAAAUAGCAUUUCCAGCUCAAAGAUAAAUAACACUACUAAAGAAGUAUCUACAUCAGGUAUAUCUUUUUCAUGUCAUACAUCAUCUUCACCUCAAAAUAGAUUUUCAUGGAUUCUUGAUACUGGAGCCACAUAUCACAUGAUUUGUAGUCCUCUUCUUUUUUAAUCCAUCAUUCUCCCUAAAACUCAGUCUAAAACUCAGUCUAAAGUUCAUCUGCCAAAUGGUCAACAUGUACCAAUUCUCUUCACUGGAACGGUUAAAUUUUCUCCUGACAUCAUUUUAUACAAUGCACUUUAUGUUCCAGCUUUUAAUAUCAAUCUAAUUUCUGUUUCUAAAUUAACUGCCGCUAACACUGUUGGCUUAUUUUUUCUUCACACAAAAUGUAUUCUGCAGGAUCUAAGCAAAUGGAAGAUGAUUGGUCUUGCUGAAGCUGAAUCUGGUCUCUACAAUCUUCACAAACCCCCUGAUCAAAAUACUAAAGAAUCACCUCCUAGAUCAAACAUCAAAUCCUGUGUUGUUGCGACAAAUCUCUAGCAUUUACGUUUAGGCCACAUCCCUCCCUCCAAAAUCACCCUUUUGAACAAAACUGAUCCUUCAGUCACUAUCAGCAACAAUACCAUUUGUGAUAUUUGCCCCCUAGCUAAACAAAAACGGUUGCCCUUUUCUUUAUCUAUUCAUAAAUCUACAACAGCUUUUCAAUUAGUUCACAUUGACAUUUGGGGACCAUUCUCUGUUACCUUUUAUUCUGGUUAUCAAUUUUUUCUUACUAUUGUAGAUGAUUACAGUAGAUUUACUUGGUUAUUUUUAAUGAAAUCUAAAUCUGAAACAAGACAUCUUCUCAGCAAUUUUCUAGCCUAUGUUCAUACUCAAUUUAACACCAACAUUCAAACUCUCAGAUCCGACAAUGGCCAAGAAUUUAAUAUGCCUACUUUCUACCAAACGCAUGGCAUCAUACAUCAAUUAACAUGUGUUGAAACACCUUAACAGAAUGGAAGGGUUGAAAGAAAACAUCAACACCUGCUCAAUUUAGCUCGAUCUCUUCUGUUUCAAUCCCAACUACCUUUAUCUUAUUGGACAAAUUGCAUACUCACAGCCACACACCUCAUUAAUCGUACCCCCUCCCUCAUUCUCCAAAAUCAGACACCUUACCAAGUUCUUUAUCACAAACCACCAUAUUACAAUUACUUAAGAGUAUUCGGCUGUUUAUGUUUUGCUAGCACAAUCACACAUAAUAGAGGUAAAUUUCAUCCCAGAGCCACGAAAUGUAUUUUUCUUGGAUACCCUCCACACAUUAAAGGAUACAAAGUUCUUGACUUAACCAUUUGCAAAACCUUUGUAUCUCGAAAUGUUGUUUUUCAUGAAUCCACCUUUCCAUCUAUUCCAAACAAAGUUCAUACACCCCUUGUGUUCCCUGACUAUCCUCAAAAUUUUGACCCUUUUCCUUGUCUCCCAUCAAACACAACUCUACAUGAUUCUGUUGUUCCUGCAAAACUUCCUAUACAACCUCCUGUUCCUCACAUUUCUCCCCUACCUCCUCCUCCUCUUCCCCAACUUAGAAAAUCUGAAAGAAAUAAACAUCCACCUACUUACUUAACACAGUAUUAUUGUGGACAUAUGGCUCAGAUUGCUUCAGCAACUCCAGACUCUCCACCUUGCUCCCUGCCUGGUAAGCCCUACUCUAUCUUUUCUUUCUUGUCUACCUCCCAAUUAUCUUUACCCCACUGUGCUUUCACUUCUUCUGUUUCAUCUGUUUAUGAACCGAAAACUUACAAACAAGCUAGCUCUAUCCCUCAUUGGCAACAUGCUAUGACCAAUGAAAUCAAAGCUCUUGAGAAAAACAAAACUUGGGACUUAGUCAUUCUGCCACCAAAUAAAACUGUCAUUGGAUGUAAAUGGGUCUACAAAGUUAAAUUUCAGGCUGAUGGACAGGUUGAAAGAUAUAAAGCACGAUUGGUAGCAAAAGAAUACACACAACAAGAGGGAAUUGAUUUUUUUGACACUUUCUCUCCUGUUGCAAAAAUCACAACAGUACGAGUUCUUCUCACCAUUGUUGCAGCCAACAAUUGGCAUUUACAUCAACUUGAUGUAGACAAUGCCUUCCUACAUGGUGACUUAUAUGAGGAAGUAUAUAUGCAAUUACCACCUGGCUACUCCAAUCACAAUGACCCUCGAAUCUGCAAGCUCAAAAAGAGCAUCUAUGGUCUUAAACAGGCUUCUAGACAAUGGUUUUCCAAACUCUCUGCAUCUCUACUUCACUUUGGUUUUCUACAAGCCAAAUCAGAUUCUAGCCAUUUCAUCAAGCAAUCUCACACAGCCCUCAUUGACAUUUUAAUCUAUGUUGAUGAUGUUCUCAUCGCCUCCAAUGAUCUUACAGCACUGACUAUAGUAAAAAACUACCUUCGCACAAUUUUCCCUAUCAAAGAUUUGGGAAACCUUAAAUACUUUCUCGGUAUUGAGGCAGCUCGAUCUACCAAAGGCAUUGUUCUUUUCCAAAGAAAAUAUGCCUUGGACAUACUUACAGACAGUGGUUUUUCUGGCGCUAAACUUGUCAAUUUUCCAAUGGAAUCCACACUCAAACUCAGCACACAUGAUACUAGCCCUCCCUUGACUAAUCCUGCAUCUUAUCGUAGACUUAUUAGCAAGCUUCUCUAUCUUACACUCACAAGACCAGACUUAUCCUAUGCCAUCCAAACUCUCAGCCAAUUCAUGUCAAACCCUCACACCCUAUAUAUGCAAGCAGCAGAGAGAGUUCUUCGGUAUCUCAAAGCCACACCAGGAAAAGGCUUACUUCUCAAAGCUGCUUCUCCUCUUCAUUUAAAAGCUUAUUCUAACAGUGAUUGGGGAGGUUGCAUUGACACUCGUCGACGUGUUACUGGCUACCUAGUCUUUCUUGGAGAUUCAUUAAUAUCCUGGAAAUCAAAGAAACAACCUACUGUAAGUAGGUCCUCUGCAGAAGCUGAAUAUCGGGCAUUGGCAACUACUUCAUGUGAACUACAAUGGCUUACUUAUUUACUAGCCGAUUUCCACAUCCCUCACUCUCAACCUGCCUUACUCUACACUAACAGCAAACCAGCCUCCGAAAUAGCUUACAACCCUGUUCAUCAUGAACGCACCAAACAUAUCCAACUUGACUGUCAUCUUGUACGUGAAAAAAUGCAAGAAGGACUCCUUACCAUCAUUCACAUUCCUUCCAAAUUUCAAUUAGUUGAUGCCCUCACUAAACCACUUGGUUAUCACAUGCUUAAUCCUCUCCUUGACAAGAUGGGAAUGAUAAAUAUCCAUUCUCAUCUUGCGGGGGGAUAUUGGAACCUAGCGCAUACUCACACAAAACAUAAAGAAGCUAAGGAUGCAAACAAUUCUUCACUGCUUGCGGAGCAAGCAACCCCUGCAGCCUACUCCCCUACACCAGAAGACUAACGAAGACUAGCCAAGUUAUCAUAACACAUUGUAAAUUGUGGAUAUAAUAAAGUUAGUUAUAUACUGUUAAACUUAGUUAAACGUUUGUUAACGUUUUAUUAACAGAAGCUAGUUAGAAUAUGUGUGUAUAUAUGUAUUCAUGUAUACUGCAAAAGAGACAAAUAAUAAGAGAAGAAAUACUGCAUAUUGAUUGCAGACUUUCCAAACGUAUCUUCCUUCUUCUUCUCUCAUAAGAAAUUUUAUUCUCUUCUUCUUUCUCUGCUUCUAUAGGAAAGAAUAAAUUCUGCUAUAACAAAAUUAUCAUAAUUAGAGAAAAACAAUUUACUAUAUUUCAUAUGUCACAAAUAUUUUUCAUAAAAUAAAUACAACUUAACUUUGAUAAAUGAUACCUCUAGAAAUGUGGAAUCCAUUUAUAAUUGAAUUAAAAUUAUAUUGAAAUGCUUCUUAUCAGAACAGAAAAAAAAAACAUAUUGAAAUGGGCCUACCAAAUACAGCAUUAAAUAUUUUAAUUACCAUAAAAUUGACAACUAGCAAUGAAAUUAACAACAAAAAAUAUUUUCAUUGGUAAUAUCCGAUGAAAAUAGCAAUGAAACAUAUCCAUUAAAUAUUAAAAAAUUAAAUAGCAAUGGAAUAUGUGCAAUCAAUAAUUAUCAAUGAAAUUGGCAAUGAAAUAAAAAUAAUUAGAAAAAAUAAAUAAAUAUUAUGUCAGCAAUUCCAUCGAUAAUAUGACACAUCAUUAUUUACAAAAUGUUUCAUUGGUAUUCACCGAUGAAAAUAUUUCAUCAGUAGUUUUCAUUGGAAGUUUUGUCGAUAAAUUUACAAGUGUUACAACCAACAACAACCCGCCCUAUCCAUUUCUUCUUCUUAUUUAAUAUCAGAAAAUAGGUACCCUCCUUGUUAUGUCACAAAUCUAGGCCUUGUAUUUAUAAAUUUGACCACCCCAACAUUCAAUAGUGUCAGUAUUAUUAUCUCGGUUCAAUUUUUUCUAAAUACUCACUACACCAAGUAAGCAAACCUACAUAUUUAUGUUUUAGGUUAAUUUAUUGAUAUUUUUGUAAUAUUUUGUAAUUUAAUUGUAUAUUUAAGUGUUUUACAUCUGUUUUUCCUUAAGAAUUUUGUUGUAUUAAAGAAUGAUUUGUAUGUUAGGAUUUGUUUGGGAUUUGAAGAAAAUUGAAUUUGUUUUUCAUUUGAUGAAUUUAAGUUUGAUUUUGUAAUUUAUGUUUGUUAUAUCAGAAGAAAUGAUAAGUUAUUUAAUAGAUAUAAUUAUAUUUUGUCGAUUUUAUUAAGUUUGGAAAUUUUACUAGGUGUGUUAUGCAACCCAAGAUUAAAGACGCGUUGUAGUGUUUUGAUCAUAAACAUUUCAUAAUCCAACAUAAAACAACCAUCACUUGUCAUUUAGGAGUUAGAUUCAAGAACAAAUUAUUGUUGCAAAGGCUAAACUUGAGGUAGAGUAUGAAGAAUGAAGUAGAAAGCAAUGAAAGUAAAUGAUAAUAUACAUGUAGACUUAUUAUUCUCCCACUGGAAAUAUUCAUCCCCCUCCACCUCUACCUUCAUAUGCAGCUCCAACUUUAGUUAGUUAGGAGUUUAUCUAAUAUAUUAAGAUAUUUAUAAUUGAUUUUAUAAUUAAAUUAAUGAAAUAAAAUGUGUUCUUUAAUUUAAUAUAAUUAAAUAUUAAUUUGUUUAAUCUAAAUAAACAUUUAUUAAAAAAAAUAAACAACAAACAUAGAAAUUAAGUUGAUGAUUUUGUCAAUUACAUCAGUCUAUUUGUAUCUAAAAAUUACAUAAAAAUUGUUUAAUUUUUUGGCAUCAUUGAUACAAUCACUGCCAUAAUUUUUAUGUUCACGAUCCGUCAUCGAUACAUGAUCAAUUACCGACUGGUAUUCUGUCGUUUAUCGUUUAUGCCUUGGAACUGUACCUGUGUGUAGGUAUGGACAAUUGCUUUUUAGGCAAGAAACUGCGUUGUGGGAUAGGAGAAGAAGGGGCAGAAACAAGCAAAGAUCAUUCUCUCAUCCUAUUCUUCAUGAAGAGCUCUCACUCUUGAGAUUACAUCAGACCAACAAAAGUUGUUUUUACUCAUCCUAAUAAGAUCAUCACAGAGAAGAUUGGCAAGGAACUUCUAAGUACUGGUGUUGUUUUGAUUUCCUUUUCUUUGGUGGUCUUUGCAUCAUCUGACUUGAUGGUCAUGAUGACACGCCAAGCUUCUCCACCAGAUGUCACUGAAGGUAUUAAGAUCUGCACCUUUUAGCUACGAUCAACUCGCGGUGGCCACGAUGAUUCAAGGAAGAGAUCGGUAAAGGGGCAUCAGGAGGCUCUGUAGAGGCUCGUUAGCAAAGAAUGACGGGAAAGAAAUAGCAGUGGAGAGUCUAGAGAAGGUGGUGGAAGAUGGAGAAGGGGAGUUCCGAAACGGGGUGAAGAUAAUGGAGAGGACUACAAUAACUUGGUACGUUUGAUUGGCUUUUGCAGUGAAGGAUCAAAUAGGCUUCUUGUGCAUGAGUUCAAGAUCAUUCAUUGUAACAUAUUUUCUUCUCUAGAGUUUAUAAUAAAUAAAUUAUUUGUAAGAAAACGAAGUUCAGUUGCAUUGUUGAUGGUGUUCCAAAAUUUACUAUGUUUAGAAAUGAGAAUUUUAAGUGUUUAAAUGAAUGAUGAUUAUACAUUCACUUCUAUAUUUUCUUGUUCACAAUUCAUAAAAUUGAUUGUUGGUGAUAAAAGACUUGACACUUAUAAAAUAGUUUUUUUUUUGUGGGGCUUAGGGGGCAUCUGAAUGAUAAAGUUAAUGACUUUUUAUAUGAGAUUAUAAUAAAUUAAGAAAAUAAGCUUUAAAUAAAAAAAUAAAUAAAAAUGUUUGUUCUUAUUUAUGUAUGAUAAAACACCUUGAAAAUAAGAAUAUAAACACUUUAAAGAAUAGAAAAAGUGUGAACCUUUUACUUGAAUGGUUCAGAGAAAUUUAUAAUGCCUGAACUUUGUUGUUUUUUUUAAGGGGUGGAUAGUCACUUCCUUUUGAAAAUGUAAAUGAGAAAAAACAUCUUACACAACAUUAAUUUUAAUGGAAAUAACCCUUACAUUAAUAUUGAUUGGAAUACGUAGGACUUGUAAGAGAUUUUUAUAUAUUAUUUUGUAUGUAACAUUAAUGUUGAUGGGAAUUGUCUUUAAUCAACAUUAAUUUUGAUUAGAAUAUGACAGGUUUUUGAAAGAUUUUUAUACACCUAAGAAUAUGACUAUCAUAGACUCUUAAUAUUUUAUGUUAAGAAUUAUAAAAUAGCUUUAUGACUCAAUAUAGGGCUUAUAAAAACUUUUAACCCCAUAUGUAUUUGCACCUAGAUUGAUUUUAAACUCAAGGGUUUUGAGUCAAAUAUUUUGUCAGACCCAUAGGAACUUGAGCUUUAGCGUCAGACCUAUAUUCACUCAGGCUUAACGCGUAGCUGAGUCCAAUGGUAUUUGGUCUGGAAUCUCGUCAAACUCACAUGUACUUGAGCUCAACACAUAAUUAAACUCAAGGGUGUUGGGUCAAGAAGCAAGCCAGACUCACAUCAUCUAGGUUAACACCUUGCUUUUGACCUUUUUUAUGAUUGGCUUCUUAAGCAAACAAAUUGUGUAUAAAAUAUACUAAUCUAGUAGUGGCCCCGUAAGGGUAUUUCUUCCAUCUUGCUUUUGAGUUAAGGUAUUCCAUCCAUUUUCAAGGAUUUAUGAGAGACAUCUUUAGGUAUUAUAAAUUGGGUUUAAGCCAAUUGCACCCCAAAUGAUGGGUGAUUUUAGGGGCGAGUAAAAAAAUUAAAAAACCAAUUAAACCAAGAAAACAAAAAAAAUAACAAAAAAAACUGAACGGUGAAAAAAACCAAAUUAAACUGAUUAGAAUGUUUAAAAAAAUUGACCGGUUUAGUUUUGGUUUCAUAAGCCUAUAUAUAUAUAAAUUGUGUCCAGCUUGCUAUGUGUGGAGUCAGUUGCACAACUCUUGGGUCCUAUGUCAAGAAUUGUGACUUAGGGCGUUUCUUUCUUUGCCAAAAGCUUCUGGCAGCCAAACCCAUAACACUUCCAAAACAUACCAAUAACCUUGGGUCUUGCUACCCAACAUGGCCUAAUAGUGUUGUGAAAGGCAUAGCCAAACCCAAAACACUUCAAAAAAGAACUGGGUUUGGUUGACCAGCCAAACCCAACAAUCUUAGGUCUGGCUCGGCAGCUAAACCCAACACCUUUUUGAAGUGUUUUGGGUAUAGCUCCACACUAUUGGGUCCUGUAGUAGGACCCAAUGCUAUUGGCACCUUCUUGGGUCUAAUUGGGUAGCCUGACCCAAUAUCUUUAGGUCCGGCUGUACAACCAUACCCAAAAUAGUUUUGGGUUCGACUGUUUAACAGGACACAAUAGGUUUGGGGACCAAAUAACACUAGGUCCAAACCAAAUUUUCUUGAGUCCAGUGUCCGGACGGUGUUGCACCUGAUACUAAUGGGUUCUGCGUCGCGACCCAAUUCUCUAGUGUCCAUGUUAGGACCCAUGGUUCAAGUAUCCGGCUUUAGGACCCGAUUGUAUUUUGUCCGCGUCAGGAGCCAAGUGUAAUGGGUCCUACUUUUGGACCUAAUUAUAUUGGUAUCGCAUGUGUGCGGUGUCGCGGCGAACUGGUUUCACUUUAAAUCUAAAAGUAAAUCUAUCAAGCAAAUAUGGGGAGACAAGAAAUUUUUGUCGCUUAUCGGUGGAAAAUGGAAUGUGAGUCGCCACCUAGUAUUUUGAUCACUAGGAACCCUAACUGGUCUCAGAGAUCGGGUACGGGACUGAUUGCGUAAAUGGAAGGUAUUAGUACCCCAAAUACGCUUUACCCAAGGUAAGCUGCAUUGUUUGAUUGUCUGAUAAAAGCUAAGGUGUUAUUGUAUUUCUAGUUGUUGGUCUGUCUAUGGUUCAAGAAAAAUCCUCCUCAAUAAAGAGGUCCUUAUCUUAUCGGGUAAAAACUUAAAUGUUCUAACGUCUAUAUGAAAACUAUAUUUUUAAUAUCAGGAAUGCGUUUUACGUAUAAAUUCGUAAUCCUAGAUACUAAAAGAAGACAAAAGGAUUUUUUUUGAAUUUUUGAAAUAUUGGCCUAGUUCUCAUGACUCUAACAAACUUGUUGUUAAAGCCAAAGUGCAUGCUAAUACAUAUAUAUUUUUUUGAAAUUUUUCCCUGUUGUAUGCAAAUAUAAUGUGAUGAUUUUUUAUAUAUAUUUUGGAGAGACUAGGCCGUAUGCAUGAAAACAAAACACUUUUUUAUUUUAUUAUAUAUUUUUUAUGCCUUGAUGAAAACCGGGUAUUUUAAUACUAGAUUUUUAUCUUUACGGUAUAAAAAUACAAACCAAUAUUAAGCAAUAAAAAUAUGCAGGAAAAUCAACAAUUUUUUUAAGGAUUUUUCAGAAUUUUGAAUAUAAAACAUUUUAUAUUUUAUAUUUUUUGAUGUAUUGAUGAAAACCAUGUAUUUUAAUACUAGAUUUGUAUCUUUACAGUAUAAAAAUAAAAACCAAUAUUGAUCAAAAUGCAGUAACAAUAUUGCGGAAAAUCACAAAUUUUUUGAAAUAAUUUUUGAAGAAUUUUGUUUUUUUUAUGGGUCGGGUCCAAUUCGGCCCAUGUGGCUGGGGCGGAACCAAUAGGCCUAACUAGGCUGGACCCGGCCCAAAAGAAGACCGGGCUGAAAUCAGCCUAAAAUAAAAUGGGCCUACCUUCUAUAGGGUUGGACUCAGCCCAGCCGUAGGGCUGGGCUUAUGUUCCAGCCCGAAACAAAUGUGGAGCACAGUCCAGUUAAUUAAUUAGCACAGUAACCAGCUAAUUAUUUUUCUUGCAAGAAGAUGAACAGUAAGAGGGUUGAGGGGAAGAGUUACCAAGGGUGAUGAGCUUGGACGGAGGAGCUCUUCCUCUUCUCUGCUGUUUUUGACGUUGCUUCUUCUCUUGGUUUCCUUUGUUCCCUCUGUUAACGAUAUUCUUCCUUCUCUGCAGCGGCUUCGUGGAGGUGCUGGUGGUGGCGACCUGGGGAGGGGCUGAGAAGGUGGUUUGGCGAUGUUGUUGCUGCAGUUUUUUUUUCCUUCGUAGAGGCGCAGGUUCCUGUUUUUUCUUCAAUGGUGUUGUAGCGUGUGGGAGGAAGAUGAUGAGCUGAGGAAGGAUGACGAUGGCGUGGGCAGUGCUGUUGUGUUUGUGUUCCUGGUGGCGUUGUUGUCGGGGUAUCCGGCUGUGGUCGCUCUUCCUCCUCUCUUCUGUCGUUACUUCUCUCUGUUUAUGUCACCUUGUUUCUCUGCUUCUUCUUCGCUAGCUCUAAAAGGAAGGCAGGCGGUUGUAGUGUGGUUUCAAACGGUGGAGAGAGAGAGAGAGCAGAGAGAGAGGUUACCGUUCUUCUCUUCCCCUCUAUUUUCCUUCUUUCUCUUCUGCCAUGUUUCUCACCUCUCUAUCGUCUUUCGUUAAAAAAAAAACUCUCCCCCUUUCUCUCUUGUUUUUUUUUCCGUCUCUUGUUCAAAAAACAAAAUUGACCCUUCUGUCUCACAAAAAACCUCCCUCCUCUGUUUUGGUUUCUCUCUUCUCUACACUCUCACAGUACCUCUUCUCGUUUCAAACUUCCCUAUCCUUUCAGUUUCCAAAAGCCCUGCCCCUCAUUCUGGUGUUGGGCGCAAUAUUUAUAGAGCAAAGAAAAAGCGUCUUGCUGUCGCGCAUGGGAAGCAGGAGACACCGGGUGAGGUCUCCAACAGGCGUGGCUUUGCAGGGCACGUCUACACUGUUUUCUAGCCAUGGAAUUUUAGGUUUAUGCAGCAGCAUGCAGGGAGAGAGAAGUUUCUCAAAAUGACACUAUUUUUUUUUUUUUGAUAGGGUAUUGAAAAAUGAGUUACAACAAUUGGGAUAUAUGUCAGGAUUCAAUUCUCUUGGGUCCUACAUAGUUUAAGAUUAAUGAAUUUUAGAUUUUUAAAUAUUAUUAUUUAUGUUAUAAAUAUUAUUAUUUUUAUUAUAAUUAAAAAUAUUAAUAUAAAAAUAUUGUUUUUUGUGCUAUAAAUAUUAUUAUUUUUAUUAUAAUUAAUUUUAUUAAUAAAAUAAUUAAUAAAUUUUAAAAAAAAUUAUUAUUAAUAUUGAAAAUCAACCAUAGAUUUGAUUUGAAAUGUAAAAUUGAAAAUUUUUAUUGUUAUCAUUAAUAAAAAAAAAUUAAAAAAAUUAUUAUUACUAUUGAAGAAAACCCAUAAUUUUUCAAAAAGAUUAACAAAUAUAAGAAUUUAGACAGACAAGUUAAAUAUUAUUACUUAUAUUAUAAAUAUUAUUGUUGGGUUUGUCAUUACAGUCAGACUCGACUCCUUUAAUUUUUCUGUUUCAACCAGACCCAAAGCUUUUGAGCCAUAUAUUUUUUUCAUAUUUUUUAUUAAAAUAAAACGUUGGCUGCAAUAUAGUGCAGGCCACCUAACUAAUAAUGGACUCCAAAUAAAUUAAUUCUGCUUCAAGGAAAACAAACAUAUUAAAAUCAUAAAAACAUUUUACUAUAAAAUAUUAUACAGAAUAAACGUAACUUACUCUAAAUUUCCUCAAACAAUCUUGCAUUGCAAGAUUAAAUGGGCAGUAACAACGCCAGGAAAGCUUUCUUGUGGAUUUAAACACAUUUUUCUAUUCCUCUUAAUUAUGGGAGGGGGGAGCUAUCUUCUGCUGUGUAGGAAGAUCUGAUGAAACAAAGGAACAAUUGUUUUCAUUUUACCAAAAACAUAUUUAGUGGAAGACAACCCUGCCAUCACUGGUGAAGAGCAAGGUCGCAUUACUGGGGACUGGGGCGUCAUCCCUUCUAGCAGCCCACACAACAGUCUUUAGUGAAAUCCCGGAUAGAAAAACCCCAAUAGAAUAGCCGUCGCGUUGUCGGAAAAAUCCGAAAGCAUGAAGACCAGAAGGUGACAACCAUAAGGAGUUUGGGUUAGGUGUUAGAGAAGAUCCGAGGGUUAUAUUGGUCUGUCUUUGAGCUGAAGCUGUAAAAGAUAAGGCGAGAAGAAGAAAAAAGAUGAUAGAAGCCAUGGAUAGGGAUUUAGCUCUUGUGUGGUAUGUGAGUGUCAAAAUAAGGAUGUCUAUUGUUCCAGCACUCCAUUAUCUUUCUGUGGUUUCCAGCAGUCAAGCCAGGCACUCAAAACAUAAAAGUCUAGCCAUAGAAUCCACCGCGUUUCCCUACCAAUUGGUGGAAAUUGUUGCUCUUACUUUUAUGCUUUCAAAGUCAAUGCAGUCAACUCACCGAAAAAACUUGGCAAUUACUUGGCGCUGGUCCCCCUUUUCGAUCUUGGUAUCCCCCAUUUGAUCAGCCAUUUGCUAAUUUCCCCUGGACUGUUCUUGGUUCUAAUUUUCUGCAGCAGAUUCUUUUUUAUUUGUCAAGUACCAUCAAUAUGCUUUUGAUAACACAAUCUUGAGCUUCCUGCAGACAGCUUCAACUACUUGAGAGAUGCCAAUUGUGGUGCUAAUGCUAAUACCCCGCCAUAAUACUAGGGCAAGGCAGAACAAAUGGAUUAUAUUCAUGUCCUUCGAUGCAAAAGGCUAGAUAGCAACGUCACUUUCUAACAAAAGAUCAUGUUAUAAUUAACCCUUAUGGACAACUUAAUUAGUUUAUGGACAACUUAAUUAGUCCUUUCUUGAGUUUUUUUUUCAAUAAUCAUGAGUUUGAGUUCUUUCAGAAUCAUUAAAAGUUUACAUGAUCAUUAAAUUAAGAAUAUGUGGGAUUAGUCGAGAUGAGCACAAGUUAAUCCGGACAUCAACGUUAACAAUAAAAAAAAAAAAUCAUGUUAUAAUUUAUAUGUGAAAAGUAGGGAUUUUGAAUUCGGGUAAUCUCAACAAGGUUGUACUUUUCUUUCUCCAGGUCAACUUGGAUCUUCCUCUGUUCUCAUGUUUAGCUUCCUGCAAGAACAUUCCUUCCGAGGCACAUUUUUCCUGAAAUUAUACUAUAUAUGGGAACUUUCAAGUUUUGUUUGAAAUAAAACUUUUAUUUGCUUCCUCACGAUUUCAUUUUAGUCUCGAAUUUAAGAUAUUUUUUCGUAAAUACACUAGUUUGGAUAUGAAUGGCCAGCGUGAAACUUCAUAGAAGAUGGACCGUUGAUUCUAUGGUUUUUUCCACACGUAUUUUGCAGGAACAGCAAGUGGACGUAUGAGUAAAGUAAUGUAUCUCUUGUCCUUGGCUGUAACCGGUCUUUCUUUAUCUUGUAAUAACAAGGUGAGUUCGAUUGAGGGUUCCGCUGUAUGACUAUAUUCAGAGUAUAAUUAAGGUGGUCACAACAGGGACUGAGUCAAUGUACAACCGAGCAUUUGCUGGCAGGCUCUUCUCAGCAAAAAUGUCUUCUCUUACUAGCUUCAAAGCCAGUGGUGUAUCCUCAAUACAAGUUGUUGCAACUCUGAAGAACAUAUUGCUAGUAUUUGUUGAGACUUGAGAAUAACAUUACCCAUCUAGAAACCUGGCCAAAAUAUAGGUUUCAGUUUUCCAGCCAUAAUCCCGACACAUGAGAUAAGGUGGGAAACAACUUUACAGGCAUUAACAUUAGAAGAAAAAUCAACAGGAAGCUAUGCUGCGUAAACAUAAAGGAACUCAGUACGAAAUAGCAAUUUUAUAAAGAAAAGGAAUACAUGACCUGAAAAAUAAAAUACCACACCCUGCAGAUGAAUCUCUUAUUCCGAACCACAAAACGCAGCUCAUAUAGCAGUAAAAAAAGAAGUAGGACUUGGAGGGAUUGGGAUUUCGACUGUCCCCUCCAACAUGAGGAGUACCUUUUUCAUUGAAGGGCGGAGGGAUAGCUCAUCAAGAGUGCACCAAAGUCCCACUUUAACCAUCCUAUCUAACUGUUUCUUUUCGACGAUUUCAUCACCCACAAGUUUGUCCAUAUCACCGUCCAGAAAACAUUGGUAAACCCACUGUUCGAGAACAGCUUCAUCCUCUGGAAGACUCCAAUCCACAUUCUUUCGACAACAUGUGAUCUCCAACAACAUAACUCCAAAGCUAUAAACAUCUGCUUUAACUGUCACCGGCAUAUUCCGGUGCCAUUCUGGUGCUACAUAUCCCCUCGUCCCUCUGAUUCCCGUGAAGGUAUUAGUUUGGUCUGACUUCAGAAUUUUUGCCAAUCCAAAGUCAGAAACUUUGGGGCACCUGCUUUCAUCUAUUAGUAUAUUCUGAGGUUUUAUAUCACAGUGGAUGAUCUGAGUCUCGCACUCUUCAUGUAGAUAAACAAUACCCCUUGCAAUGUUGCGAGCAAUUUCCAACCUUUCAUGGAAGCAAGGUCGUUUUUCAAGUGAGAAGAGUAUGUCAGCGAGGGAGCCAUUGCUCAUGUACUCGUAUACCAGGAGCCUGUGAUGUUCAUCAUGGCAAUAGCCGAGCAGACGGGCUAGGUUUCUGUGAUGUGUUUUCCCAAUGACUUUCAUCUCAUUCUGAAAUUCUCUUUCCCCUUCAGCUAGAACUUUCUCCAGUCUCUUGACAGCAACAACCUUCUGAGUACUUGAUAUGAUCCCUUUAUAAACUGUCCCAAAUGAUCCCCUGCCAAUUUCUUCCUUGAAACCACCAGUAAUAUUUUCUAGCUCUGCAUAAGUGAAAGCUCGAGGAGCAAAUAACCAAGUAAUACAAUAAAUAUAGCAUAAUAGUUUAAGGAAGAUUGCAAGUAGAUCUAACGACAACAUUAAUAGUUGCAUAUGUGUGUGUGUGAAGAUUCAAAAAAACCUAAUUUAGAAAAUACAAAAAAAAAAACCAAGUAAUGAUAGAAAAAUAGAAAGAAAAGUAUUAAAUUCUGUUUAGAUUGUUCACCUAACAAUUUAAAUUUAUUUAAAUUCUAUAUAGAUAUUGUAUUGCGAUUGGUCACGUACCGGUUUGGAUCCAUUUAGAUUUUGAUUUGGUUACCUAACAAUUAAAAUCCAUUUCAAUUUUCAUGUAUUAUCUUUUUAUAUAUAUAUAUAUAAAUUUAUUGUACAAAUAUAAUGGAAAAUGAAUUAUAACUGUUGUAAUCCAUUUUUUAUCUCUAAUUUUUCACAUGUAUUUUCAAAAAUAGAACAAAUCUUCCAAAAUAUAUUUUCAAUGAAAUUCAAUUAUUAUUUAUUUAUUAUUAUUUUUGUGUGCGUGACAAUAUAGAAAAAUAAAAAUAAAAUAAAAUUAAGGAAAUGAAAUGAAAGGCAAGAAAAACUUCAGACCGGUAUGAUUGAUGACUAAAUAAUAUAUGGAAAAUCAAGAUGAGAUUGGAAAAUUUUUGCAAAAAAUCAAUAAGAAGAUGAAAUAAAAUUUUAUAAUAGUAGUUUUCCUGUUUUGAGAGUAUCCCACAAACAACAUAUAUAAACAUGAGAGAACACUACACACACAAGUACACAGAGAUAGAGAGAUUAAAAAAGACAAGUAUACUUUUGGGCUCGUUCUUGGAGCUUACAAGCAAGUUCCAUAUAGGAAAAACCUUGGUCAACAAGAAGAAAAAAUGGCAAAAAUUAGAUUGCUCUCUGCAAGCGUAAUUCAAGCCACUGCUAACAAGGUGACAAAUGAGAGGGCUGAGUUGACUCAAUGUGAUCUAAAGCUUCUUCCGCUAGGUGCUUCUCUUCCUCAAACCCAAAUCAUCAGAAGAUCAAGACUUGUUCAUCCAACAGUUGAAAACGUCACUUUCUCGGACUCUAGAUUUCUUCACCCCUCCCGUGUUGGAAGUUAAAACCGGUGUGGUAUGGGAUCAACACAGUAAUACAAGAUAAAAAAAACUCAAGAACAAAGCUAAACAACAAGAAAAAGAAGGAGAGGAAGCUUGUUAGCCACUGUAGAACAUGAUGAUAACACAGUCUCCAAUUUCAUUGACUGCAAAAAUGCAGGAGCCCAGUUUGUUCAUGGCGCCAUGGCCGAUGGGGUAACCAUGGCUGACAUCCUCCGGCCAGUUUAUGUUCCUCCAAUUGUCCACUCUUUCUUUCCAUUGAAAGGGGUCCUAAACCACGGGGCUACUGAUGUCUCCAAGCCAUUGCAUGCCUGCAGUUCAAGUCACUGAACUUGUUGGUGGCAUCUUUAAUGGCUGUACCAUGAACCAUAUAGUUGUUGAUGGCACAUCGUUUUGAAAUUUCUUCAACUCUUGGUCUGAAAUCCAUCGUGGGUUGGAUCACAUCUCCAAGCCUCCUGUUCUUGAACGUUGGUCACCUCCCAAUCGUAGCUGCAGCUGCCUGAUCCAAAAGCAAUAAGCCGUUGCCUGCAUGCUUGUACCUUUUUUUUCUCCAAAAAAAUGGGUGUAUAAGGGGUAGUUUUUCCAGGCGUAAGACACGUCAUCCAUUAGUGUAUUUCCCGGUUAUUUUCAGUCCUAUAAAUGCAAGGUUUGAUUUACUAUAUCCCUAAAGCUUGAUUUUUAAGUAAUAUUCACCUGAAAACAUCCAAACAAAACUCAAUAAAUCUUUUUUGAAUCCAAAAUUAUCCUCUAAUCAUUCUAAAAAUUAAAAAUCAAACCAAAUGAAAAAAACAUUACAAGCCUUAAAGGGUGUUUGAGAGUGUGGUAGCGGUUGCUUUUCAAAUAGCUUUUCGUGCCGAAAAGCAUGCCAAUAAUAUUUUUUUAUUUUUUAAAAAUCAUUUUUGACAUUAGCACAUCAAAACGAUCCAAAAAAUACAAACCGCACUCAAUUUUAGCAAAAAAUAAAAAUAAAUUUUUUUUGAAUUUUUUCAAAAAGCCGAUUUGGCCGCAAUGCCAAACAGGCAAUUAAUCAAUCUAUCUGUCUAUAUAUAUAUAAAACUGAAAUAUAUAUAAAAAUUGAAAAUUGAAGAUUGCACUAUAUAUAACUAAAGAGUGCAAUUUACAUUGAAGAGGGAAAGUUCUUGCUUUUUUUUUUUUAAUUAUUAUUAUUAAUGUUGAUGUUCGGAUUAGCUUACUCGUACCUCAAUUAAUUUAAAAUGUUCUAAAAUUAACGACCAUGUAAACUCUUCUAGUGAUUCUAAGAUUUAUAAAAUUCAAACCGAUGAUUUUUAAAAAACAAGUCUAGAGUCUAAUUAAUUAAACUAUACCUUUUAAAAUUAAGUUAUUAUUCUUUUAUUCAUAUUGAUUAUUGACAUUUAGCGAAGAUUUGUUUUUUAAAAAUUCAUGUUUGCAUGACUCUCUAAAAGACCCUACACAAGUUCGAUUUUUCUUUUCUUUCAAUUAGAUUUUUUUUUUCUGUUUUCACUUUAAUUAAAUAGAGUCAGGUUGAGCAUCAUAUAUAUUGCACGAUACUCAUCUUAAUGAAAAUAGGAUGAGACUUGGCUAUUAUUUUUUCUAUUAACAAGCUUUAAUAACGUAAUUAUAAUGUAUGUGAAUGAUUGAAUUAUAUUUAAUCGAAUUGUCUAAAUGCAAUGAAUAUAGCAUUAAACUGACUAAAUUCUUUUCAUAAGGGUUUAUUUACUUAUUUAACAAUAAUUUUUAAACUUAAUCCCACAAUUAAUUUGAAUAAGUUUUAGAUCACGAGUCUAUUUAUUUUUUAUUUUAUAAAUGAUAAAAAUAAUAUUAUUUAAAAAAAUAAUAAGUUUUAAUUAAGCUUUUUUUAGAUUGACCAGAUUAUUGGUCAAACCAAGUUUUUUAUCUAGUCAUAUUGAGCUAAGUCUUCUUUUAUUUUUAUUGAAAUUGACUUAAUUAGAUAUCAAAUCACAACUCAACCCUUUAGUCUGUUGAAGUUUUAAAUUAAUGGAUUUAACACAAAUACAAGGUUUGAAUGGGGCUUCUCCAAGGAAAACUCGAAUAAGAGAGCUAUGUUUAGAUGGUGUUUGUGUGUGAGUUUUAAUUAAUUAAUUUUAUUAAAAUUUGAAUUUUUUUAAUUAUUAUUUUAGUAUUUUUUGAUUGUUUUAAUAUGGUGAUAUUAAAAAUAAAUUUUAAAAAAGAAAAAAAUAUAUAUUUUUAAUAUUUUUCAAAUACAAAAUAUUUAAAAAAAAUUAUUGAUAGACUGUUAAAUACUCUUUCAAAUAAAAAAUAUUUUUAAAAAAUAUAUUAAAAGCCCCCUUUAAGCUUACCAAAACCUCAGAGCAAAAAACAAGAAAGGAAAAGAGUAAAACAAAAUGGCUCCAGCCAAGAAAGGAAAACCGAAGGCAAACUCGGCCGUGUCAACUCAGUCAAAACCCACAGCCCCAAGUCCCCAAAACAAUUUCCCAUCUUGCAUACGUGCAGUCCCUCCUUCCUCCGUCGCCAUCACCAUCCACGCCAAACCCGGUUCCAAAUCCGCCUCCAUCACUGGUGGGUCUAUACACACGUGCAAAAGGACUGUUUUGAUUCUUGUUUAGGUUAAAAAAUUAAAGCUUCAAUGUGUUUUUUUCUUCCUGAUAUUGUAUGUAGAUUUGAGUGAUGAAGCGGUGGGAGUACAAAUAGAUGCACCUGCUAAAGAUGGUGAAGCUAAUGCUGCACUUCUUGAUUACAUUAGCUCUGUAAGUCUUUUUUUUUUCCCUUACGUUAUAAGUUGGUUAUUCGUUUUUAAUGUUUUGUGAUAGAGAAUUAUUGGCUUAAUUUUCGAGAAUUUUACAGGCAUGUGUGAUGUUAAUCAAUGCCUGUCAAAUUUUUUGAUGUUUCGGUACUACGCAUAUGGAGAGAAAUAUUUUGAGUUGGUACAGUUUUGGCUGAAUUUUCUAGAGGAAAGGAGAUUUGUAGCAUGAGGUCGGGAGACGAAAGUGGCUUUUUUUUUUUUUGGAGAGAAACGGUAGAACGGAUUCUUACGGUUCAUCAAAUUUUACAGGCAUGUGUGAUGUUAAUCAUUGCCUGUCAAUUUUUUUGAUGUUUUGGUACUACGCAUAUGGAGAGAAAUAUUUUGAGUUGGUACAGUUUUGGCUGAAUUUUCUAGAGGAAAGGAGACUUGUAGUAUGAGGGCGGGGGAUGAAAGUGGCCUUUUUUAUAUUUUUUUGGAGAGAAAUGGUAGAACAGAUUCUUACAGUUCAUGAAUUAAUUAGAGAGGGUUUUAUUUUGUCUUUGGGCUUGCAUGCAAAAGGAAUGGUGAAUCUAUAGUCCUUAUAUUUAGCCUAUCAGUAUUUUGAUGAUGGAUUUGCUGGAUUCUAGACAUGCGCAAUGAGUUAGAAAACAGCAUCAAUGUGCUUAAUGUAGAGUAUUUGGAAGCAGUCAAAUAUUGAUGCUUUUUUUGGGAUCAUGGCUCGUGUCCUUGAGAUUAUUUUGAAAGAGGGUUAUGCUGGCACUUUGUUAACUUCUAUUGGGAGUUUUUAUUAUGAUAGUGUAUCUGGCAUUUUCCUAUUUCAUCAAGUUGGUGUAAGUAUUUGAUGCAAGUUGAGGAUUGAGUUAAUUUUGAACGCAUAUGGUAAUAAUAAUUUUUUUACUGACCUUUUGAAACCAUGAAUUGCUAGGAAGAGUUUGAAAUUGAAAGAGGAUGAAAGAGUAAAUGCAUUAAGAGAGAGGAUGCGAUUUCAUGAGUGAUAUAAUCAACUGGGAUCCCUGGCUUAGCCCAAUAGUAGAUGAAAAGCUUCUCUCUUCCAUAGGAUAAGUGUGAUUUAGAGCAUUUAAUCUUCUGAAAAAAUAAUAAUGAGGUGUUUACUGUUCAAUCACAACUGUAAACAUGGUUGAAUAACUGAAGAGAGUUAUUUAUGAAAAUUAACAAAUUCUUGUCGUGAUAUCUUGCAUUUAGAUAGAGAACCUCCUCUGUUUUAGUACAGAAAAGGUUCACAAGUAUGGUUCUCUCAACCAACAGGUGUUGGGGGUGAAGCGGAGGCAGGUAUCCAUAGGCUCUGGUUCUAAAUCGAGAGACAAGGUGGUGAUUGUGGAGGAGGUAACUCUACAAAAUGUUUUUGAUGCUUUGGAGAAAGUGUCCAAAUGCUGCUAAUUUAAAAAGAAGAAGAGAGGUUCAGUGUGCUUUCGUUAACAAGAGAUAUGAUUUACAUGAUCUUAUACUGAACACAAGGUAUUUGGAUAGGACAACAUUCCUAGUCCACGCUGAUGUUUAAAAUAGUUUGGUCUGUAGUUUUGUUUCUUCUAUCUCACACUGAAACAAUAAUCUUUUUAUUUAAAACUGUAAGUACAGAAGCUGUAGUGUUACUUAUGAAUAUAAUGACUGAUGUUCCAUGAAUAUUCAAGUUAGAUGCUAAUUUAUUCAUCUUCACCAUGGUUCUUCUAGUUCUCAUUUUUCUUUAUGAUUUCUUCCCCCUUUUUUCUUAUGAAUUUCACUAAGAGAUCAUUAUAGCUAUACUUUUGCACGACAGGCUUGCUAAUACCUAGCGACAUGCUGUGAAAACCAUCUUAUUUUGUCCUCCAGCUUUUGAUUCUUCUGGCUGUUUUGCCAUUAAUAAUGCUAGAUUUAAGGUUUAGGUCCGCUGUUGUUAUUACCUGAUUUUUGUGUAAUUCGCCUAUAAAUGAAAUUACUCUCUAGUGAUAAAAGGAAUGGAGUGCAGAUAUUGUGUCAUGAACAAAAGGCUAGUAUUUGUUUAUUGCAGGAGCAAGAGAAGUCUCGGCUCAUACUUGGCCAGGAAAACAUUUAUCUUUUUCACACUGUAUAAGCAUUUUGUCAUGAGGGUAAUCUUAUUGAUUAAGAAUCAUCUAUCAGAAGUGGAGUAUCCUCAAUACAAGUUGUUGCAACUCUGAAGAACAUAUUGCUAGUAUUUGUUGAGACUUGAGAAUAGCAUUACCCAUCUAGAAACCUGGCCAAAAUUAUAGGCUUCAGUUUUCCAGCCAUAAUCCCGACACAUGAGAUAAGGUGGGUAACAACUUUACAGGCAUUAACAUUAGAGGAAAAAUCAACAGGAAGCUCCCAAAUGCUGCGUAAACAUAAAGGAACUCAGUACGAAAUAGCAAUUUUAUAAAGAAAAGGAAUACAUGACCUGAAAAAUAAAAUACCACACUCUGCAGAUGAAUCUCUUAUUCCGAACCACAAAACGCAGCUCAUAUAGCAGUAAAAAAAGAAGUAGGACUUGGAGGGAUUGGGAUUUCGACUGUCCCCUCCAACAUGAGGAGGACCUUUUUCAUUGAAGGGCGGAGGGAUGGCUCAUCAAGAGUGCACCAAAGUCCCACUUUAACCAUCCUAUCUAACUGUUUCUUUUCGACGAUUUCAUCACCCACAAGUUUGUCCAUAUCACCGUCCUGAAAACAUUGGUAAACCCAUUGUUCGAGAACAGCUUCAUCCUCUGGAAGACUCGAAUCGACAUUCUUUCGACAACAUGUGAUCUCCAACAACAUAACUCCAAAGCUGUAAACAUCUGCUUUAACUGUCACCGGCAUAUUCCGGUGCCAUUCUGGUGCUACAUAUCCCCUAGUCCCUCUUAUUCCGGUGAAGGUUUUAGUUUGGUCUGACUUCAGCAACUUUGCCAAUCCAAAGUCAGAAACUUUGGGGCACCUGCUUUCAUCUAUUAGUAUAUUCUGAGGUUUUAUAUCACAGUGGAUGAUCUGAGUGUCGCACUCUUCAUGUAGAUAAACAAUACCCCUUGCAAUGUUGCGAGCAAUUUCCAACCUUUCAGGGAAGCAAGGUCGUUUUUCAAGUGAGAAGAGUAUGUCAGCGAGGGAGCCAUUGCUCAUGUACUCGUAUACCAGGAGCCUGUGAUGUUCAUCGUGGCAAUAGCCGAGCAGACGGACUAGGUUUCUGUGAUGUGUUUUCCCAAUGACUUUCAUCUCAUUCUGAAAUUCUCUUUCCCCUUCAGCUAGAACUUUCUCCAGUCUCUUUACAGCAACAACCUUCUGAGUACUUGAUAUGAUCCCUUUAUAAACUGUCCCAAAUGAUCCGCUGCCAAUUUCUUCCUUGAAACCACCAGUAAUAUUUUCUAGCUCUGCAUAAGUGAAAGCUCGAGGAGCAAAUACCUCAUUCAAUGCAGUGCCAUCAUUAUUGGGCACCCUUUUAUAUGCCAAUACAUGAUAUCUGUAAACGAUGAUUCCGAAAAUCGACACCAUAGCAAGCCCAAAAACAACAAAUGAACCACUUAUUAUUCGGAUAGUCCUGCCACUGCCAAGGUUCUUCUCGGUUAUAGGCUCUUUUCUGUCCAUGGGUCUACCCACCUUGACGACAGCCAAGUUCGAACUGUCCAAGUUUCUCCUCCCAUAUCUCAAAGGAAACCUUUGCUUUCUGCAGUACUGCCCAUCAGUGAAUAAUGCUGCUUCACAGUUACAGUCUUCCAAACAGGCUUGCUUACAAUUGUCUUUCGUUGUUGAUGACAAAACGGAGUAUGAAACAUCUUCCCAGACAAUAUUAGACAGCUCUUCCAUGGUGUAUGUGCUACUUCCAUUCUUGUCCCUUGCAACUUACAGCAUCGAAAUCCCUCUCACAGCCAGAAGUCCAAUUUCCCUGGGUAACAAACUUAAAUCCAGGAAGACAAAUACAUUCAGCUUCCUGAUCCUUCAUAACACAAUAUCCAUUAAGACCACAUGAUCCUUUCGGGUCGCACUUGUUGCUUGUGGAUGACCACACAUCUGACCAGUUUCCAUUCCGUAUCAGAUUUCGUGAAUAUAAUCUGAAAAUCCCAUCAGCAUCAAGUUUCAUAAUAUUAAUUGUUUCUUUCGUGGGAUAUCCUCCAGCUGUAAUGUUUUUUAUGUUGAAUCCUGUGGAAUUGAGCAGGUAGAGACGGCCAUCCGGAUCAAGAUUUAGGGUCACAUCAUCUCCCUUCCCAUCAGUAAAAGAUGAAAAAUAAGAAUAUGGAGCUGUAUCUGGAGUAUUAACAGGAUACUGCACAAGGUUGCCAUCAUUUUGCAUCUUGAGUCGGUAAAUACCAGUUGAGAGGUCAGUUUCUGAAACAGGAGAAAACAGCUCUGCACCCGCUUUGAGCUGUUGAGUUGGCAAAAGGGUAUCUGUUGGGUGCUCAAAACUCUGCCAUAUAAUCUGGCGAUCAGAAUUAUAUAGCACAAAGUUGCCUGAAUCAGACAUAGAAGCUAAAGAAGCUGGCUGGGAAGCAGAAACUAUCGCAGUCUCACCCCCUUGUGCUGAUGUCAAGACAACCCUGCCAUCACUGGUGAAGUUCAAGGUCGCAUUACUGGGGACUGGGGCAUCAUCCCUUCUAGCAGCCCACACAACAUUCUGUAGUGAAAUCCCGGAUAGAAAAACCCCUAUAGAAUAGCCAUCGCGUUGUCGGAAAAAUCCGAAAGAAUAAAGACCGGAAGGUGACAACCAUGAGGAGUUUGUGAUAGGUGUUAGAGAAGAUCCCAGGGUUAUAUUGGUCUGUCUUUGAGCUGAAGCUGUAAAAGAUAAGGCGAGAAGAAGAAAAAAGAUGAUAGAAGCCAU